GCAUCCUCUCAUCCGCCAUCUGCAGUUCGGAGAAUUUUCCACUCAAAACGGCACACUGGGACUCACACUCAAGGCUCUCUCAUUAUUUCACUCGUUUCUCUCACGCUCUGAAGCAGCAGCCACAGCAGCUGCUCCUGUUUUGCAAUUUCCUUUUUUGUCUGCUUCCUUGAUGGACGAGCAGCAGAGAGUCGAGGUGGAAAAAUUGGAUGCAACAGAGAGAAGGGGGAGAGGUUUGUUGCAGCUUCCUUUUAUGUACAUAUGUCUGGCUGCCACUGGCAACAAAUAUGGAAACGCUUUACAAAGAGUGGAGAUCAAAAGGAGUCGAAUACGAGUAUGGGGUGUACUUGAACCAUAGGACCAUCCAUGCUCCAUGACUUAUGCCCCAUGCUCCAUACAUCCGCCGAGUGCUAUAUAUAGCCAACAUUCACAUUCGAGAGAGUUCCAACAUCUUUUCUGUAUCUGAGGAUCGUCAAUGUCCGCAGCAUUCAUCACUGGCUCAACGGCUAUUAGAAGAUCUCCAGGAAUAUACUGUCUAUAAGGAGAAAUGUACCCAAAAUCAAAACGGAUUUCAAGGGAUUUCUGCUUUAAAAGUUCUUUCUAUUCUAGAUGAUUUUUAUUAUACAAUUGCUAUCAUUUAAUAAUUUUUUCUUUAAUGACUUUAAUAGCUAAUUUCACCUUGAAAAAUUCGGAUGUUCAUUGCACUCGAAUGUGUGAUGGAGUUGAUGGGUGUGGGGUGUGAUCCCCACCAGAUCAAUGUUCAGAUCAAUGGCUGUGUACACCUUAUGUCCGAGGAUUCGAAUGAGUCGAUAGAUUUACCGAAAAGAGGACAAUCAAUCACUGAAACGCGGGCCAACUUUUAAGUUUAAACCAACGCAAACGAAGGCACAGUUUCAUAGAGAACUCUUGGAACUGGAACAUUUGCCAUGAAAUCAUAGACCAUAGAUCCCUAUUUUUGUAUUAUUUUUCUCGAAGGAACCUUGUCUGUGGCCCUGGCCAAAGUUCGCCAAAAUUUGGGACUAUUCAAAUUCAAAAACUUGUUUAGAAUACUUAUAAAAUGAGAGUAAAGUAGGCGAUGCUAAAUACUUUCAUGAAACCCUGUACAGAACUACACACCAGAGCUCAGUACCGUCUGAAUAAGUGAUCGUUUCUGAAGAUGGAUAUCUUUAAAAGAAUUGCAAUAUAUUUCAACCCACCGCCAGUACAGGAGCCAACGAUUGUCGAAAUUAC